rnacentral:rRNA from 1 species
AUUGAACGCUGGCGGCAGGCCUAACACAUGCAAGUCGAGCGGUAACACAGAGAGCUUGCUCUCGGGUGACGAGCGGCGGACGGGUGAGUAAUGUCUGGGAAACUGCCUGAUGGAGGGGGAUAACUACUGGAAACGGUAGCUAAUACCGCAUAACGUCGCAAGACCAAAGAGGGGGACCUUCGGGCCUCUUGCCAUCAGAUGUGCCCAGAUGGGAUUAGCUAGUAGGUGGGGUAACGGCUCACCUAGGCGACGAUCCCUAGCUGGUCUGAGAGGAUCACCAGCCACGCUGGGACUGGGACACGGUCCAGACUCCUACGGGAGGCAGCAGUGGGGAAUAUUGCACAAGGGGCGCAAGCCUGAUGCAGCCAUGCCGCGUGUAUGAAGAAGGCCUUCGGGUUGUAAAGUACUUUCAGCGGGGAGGAAGGCGAUAAGGUUAAUAACCUUGUCGAUUGACGUUACCCGCAGAAGAAGCACCGGCUAACUCCGUGCCAGCCGCCGCCGUAA